rnacentral:rRNA from 1 species
AGGAGGCAGCAGUGGGGAAUCUUCGGCAAUGGGCGAAAGCCUGACCGAGCAACGCCGCGUGAGCGAUGAAGGCCUUCGGGUCGUAAAGCUCUGUUGUUAGAGAAGAACAAGUACGAGAGUAACUGCUCGUACCUUGACGGUACCUAACCAGAAAGCCACGGCUAACUACGUGCCAGCAGCCGCGGUAAUACGUAGGUGGCAAGCGUUAUCCGGAAUUAUUGGGCGUAAAGCGCGCGCAGGCGGUCUCUUAAGUCUGAUGUGAAAGCCCACGGCUCAACCGUGGAGGGUCAUUGGAAACUGGGAGACUUGAGUGCAGGAGAGAAAAGUGGAAUUCCACGUGUAGCGGUGAAAUGCGUAGAGAUGUGGAGGAACACCAGUGGCGAAGGCGGCUUUUUGGCCUGUAACUGACGCUGAGGCGCGAAAGCGUGGGGAGCAAACAGGAUUAGAUACCCCGGUAGA